AUACCUUUCUCGGCCUUUUGGCUAAGAUCAAGUGUAGUAUCUGUUCUUAUCAGUUUAAUAUCUGAUAUGUGGGUCAUCGAUCCACACGAUAUUAACUCAAUUUUUUAAGGGAGAAAACCCGUUAAGAUAGCUUGCUAUCUGGGCUUUCACGAGUCGUMCAUGCGUUGCAUUACUGCACGGGCCUGGCUCAUCCGCC
rnacentral:snRNA from 1 species